GGCGCGGCUUCCAAGCUCUCCAAGAUCCGAGUUGUUCGCAAAUCCAUCGCCCGUGUUCUCACAGUCAUCAACCAGACGCAGAAAGAGAACCUCAGGAAAUUCUACAAGGGUAAGAAGUACAAGCCCCUGGAUCUGCGACCCAAGAAGACACUUGCCAUGCGCCGCCGGCUGAACAAGCACGAGGAGAACCUGAAGACCAAGAAGCAGCAGCGGAAGGAGCGGCUGUACCCGCUGCGGAAGUAUGCAGUCAAAGCCUGAGCACUGGCGUCAAUAAAACACAGACAAA